rnacentral:rRNA from 1 species
GACGAACGCUGGCGGCGUGCUUAACACAUGCGAGUCGAACGAGAGCGUAGAGAAAGCUUGCUUUUUCUACAAUCUAGUGGCAAACGGGUGAGUAACGCGUAAACAACCUGCCCUACGGAUGGGGACAACAGCUGGAAACGGCUGCUAAUACCGAAUACGUUCCGAAAGUCGCAUGACUAUCGGAAGAAAGGAUGGCCUCUAUUUAUAAGCUAUCGCCGGAGGAGGGGUUUGCGUCUGAUUAGCUAGUUGGAGGGGUAACGGCCCACCAAGGCGACGAUCAGUAGCCGGGCUGAGAGGAUGAACGGCCACAUUGGAACUGAGACACGGUCCAGACUCCUACGGGAGGCAGCAGUGGGGAAUCUUCCGCAAUGGGCGAAAGGCUGACGGAGCAACGCCGCGUGAGUGAAGACGGCCUUCGGGUUGUAAAGCUCUGUUAUACGGGACGAAUAAUCUUGUGGUUAAUACCCAUGAGAAGUGACGGUACCGUAAGAGAAAGCCACGGCUAACUACGUG